UGCCAGCCGCCGCGGUAAUACGGAGGGUGCAAGCGUUAAUCGGAAUUACUGGGCGUAAAGCGCGCGUAGGCGGCUUGAUAAGUCAGAUGUGAAAGCCCUGGCUCAACCUGGGAACUGCAUUUAGAACUGUGUAGCUAGAGUACAGCAGAGGAUAGUGGAAUUUCAGGUGUAGCGGUGAAAUGCGUAGAGAUCUGAAGGAACAUCAGUGGCGAAGGCGACUGUCUGGGCUGAUACUGACACUGAGGUGCGAAAGCGUGGGGAGCAAACAGGAUUAGAUA
rnacentral:rRNA from 1 species